rnacentral:rRNA from 1 species
GUCCAUGCUGUAAACGAUGAUUACUAGGUGUGGGGAGAUUGACCCUCUCCGUGCCGCAGUUAACACAAUAAGUAAUCCACCUGGGGAGUACGACCGCAAGGUUGAAACUCAAAGGAAUUGACGGGGGGCCCGCACAAGCAGUGGAGUAUGUGGUUUAAUUCGAAGCAACGCGAAAAACCUUACCAGGUCUUGACAUCCAACGACCGCCUAAGAGAUUAGGCUUUCCUUCGGGACGUUGAGACAGGUGGUGCAUGGUUGUCGU